GAUGAAGAACGUAGCGAAAUGCGAUAAGUAAUGUGAAUUGCAGAAUUCAGUGAAUCAUCGAGUCUUUGAACGCACAUUGCGCCCCUGGUAUUCCGGGGGGCAUGCCUGUCCGAGCGUCAUUGCCGCCCUCAAGCACGGCUUGUGUGUUGGGCCCCCGCCCCCCGGCUUCGGGGGGCGGGCCCGAAAGGCAGCGGCGGCACCGCGUCCGGUCCUCGAGCGUAUGGGGCUUCGUCACCCGCUCUGUAGGCCCGGCCGGCGCCCGCCGGCGACCCCAAUCAAUCUUUCCAGGUUGACCUCGGAUCAGGUAGGGAUACCCGCUGAACUUAAGCAUAUCAAUAAGCGGGGA
rnacentral:misc_RNA from 1 species